rnacentral:pre_miRNA from 1 species
AAUUUCAACUGAAAAUGUCAUCAACAACAAAGUGGUAUAACUCAUCAAUAUCUAUAACUUUUGUUUUGAUCAUUUCUUCAUCCGACAAAGCGAUUUGUAACAUUGUUUACAAAAUGUACAUAUCUCUUAUAUAGUUUUAUAAACUAUAAGAGAGAUAUGUAAAUUUUUUGAAAAAUAUUACUAUCACUUUGUCGGAUGAAGAAAUAACCAAAAUAAAAGUCAUAGAUCUUAAUGAGUUAUAUAAUUUUGUUGUUGAUGACUUUUUCAGCUGAAAUC